rnacentral:lncRNA from 1 species
CACGGCGCAGUGCCUCGUACUGGAAGUCGUCGAGGACGUCGUCGGCCUGGUACGCGGCGGCCUUGAGCUCCUUCAUCCACGUCCGGACGGCGUGGUUGGUCUCGCUCUUCGCCUCGGCGUCGGCCAGCAAGGACUGCACGUACACCAGGUGGCGCUCGAGCUUGAGGCGGUCCUGGUCGACGCCCCACAUGCGAGUGAUGCUCUGCACGAGGGCGUCAGCCGCCUUGCCGACGACGCCGCGCACCACGGGGAGCAGCAGCGACUCUGCCAUGUUUCCUUGCUCGCAGGGCUUCCUUGCUCUUCCUCAACGGCUCAACCACAGGGAGAUCUGAGAAGAGGCAAACUGUGUGCGACUCCUUAACAAACUCCCCAAAAAUUGCAAGUUGUGCCUGGCACUGCAAAAGAAAAAAAAAACAUUAGCAUUUAUGCCCGCUGUUGCACAGUGAUCCUGGCUGAGAACAAGAACUGAAAUGGACACGAAACAAAUAAAUUUCAAUGCAGAAAAUUAGAAACGAAAAUGGAAAUAAACGAGAAUAUUACAGAAUCCAUUCCCCACCGAACCAAGAACAGAGAAGAAAGCUCGAGAAUGCAAGAAACCAAAGAAAUGAAAAAGUGAAUGAUUUACCCCCCAAAAACUCACCCUUUCUCGCACCAGCCGCCGCACCCAAUGACCCAGUGGAGGAGCGGAGGAGGGAACAAAACCAAGGUCCUGGACUCCUGGUGGAGAUAUCGGUCGGAGCCCUCCUGGCUUUUCUUGGUUUGGCCCCUCUCUCUUUCGUAGAGCUCACUUUCAGGCUUCGCCACUUCUGCUUGGCCGCCGCUGAUGGGAGAAGACUGUCGAACAAAUAUGCCAACUGCCACCCUGACCUCAAGUUGGUAGGGUUGGGUCCUUUAUUUCUUAUGGGAAUAGAUUAUUGCUACCUGGCAGCCUUCUAUUGGCUGCAAUUUUCCUUUCCUGUCAAUGUUCGUUUGUGGAGGUUCUCUGAGGAAAAAAGAUUGGUUUGCGGCGCUCUUUGCCUCUAUCAUCAAUUCAAUCAAAGGAAAGAUCAAUAAAGAAAAAGAAAACAUGUGUACAAAAUGAAGAAGAUAUGACACUACUUUAUUUUCAUGUAUCUAUCUAAGAAUAGUAGAAAGUAGAAACAUUCCAGCUUUAUUCUGAAUACAGUAAAAUUUAGUGAAGAACUAAAAUAACUGUAAGAAGGUAAAGCGUGGUCCUUAGAUAAGGAAAUAUUACAAACUAAUCUUAAGCUGCAAACAAUGGAAGGUCACCUAUCACUGUCCAGAGAGGCUAGUAUGCUGUUGUAACAGUAAGGUUUAGCUAGCUCACAUUUUUCUCUAAAGAUUAGCUGUUGCAUGGUAACUCUUGCAAUUAAGCAGUAGCUAACAAUGCUAGUUAAGCAGUACACAGCCAAUUCACAAUGUAAAGAAAUGGUUUUGACCAGUGUUUGCUGUUUAGCACACAUGGUCAGCAAAAACACCAUCCGAUACUUUUAUCACUAACAGAGAGCAUAAAGAAAACUUAGUGGGUGCUGGUCCUUUUCACCCCUUUAAUCUCCCUUUUAUCCCCUAAAUCCUUUUACUAACAAUCUUUCAAUGAUGUUGCCGGCCGGCCACCAUCACACUCACCGGUAAAGGUAAAAAGCAGAUAAACAAACUCGCAUUAAGAAAACCAAAAUCACCAUACGUUGCACGUGAUGAUGCCGAUCGAGUAUUAGCUCGCAACAUUAUAUAUCCUGGGCCCACAUGACACCAUGGUGAGUGGUGCUAAUAGUAAACUUAUGUCCUGGAUCUUGGGGCCCCACGUGUGUGGGCUCCUGCAGCCGAAAGCCUCCAAGGCAAGGCAUGAUCACUUAGCGAGGAAGAACGUGGUGGUGGUUUCAUGGUGGAGAAGAGUACAAGAACGCAUGUGCCUUCCUGUCUCCAUUGCUUUGUCAUAAAAAAAAUGAUGUAUUUUCUUUAAAUAGUAUGAGUGUGCCUUUAGGUUGGCAAAAGCUCAUCCAUUUUCUAUUUUUCUUUCAAAGGUUAUGUAAAAACUCAAGUACUCAUAAUUUCAAGCAUGUAUGUGAGUAAAAGAAUUCAGUAACACAAAAGCUAUGGAUAUCUGAAUUUGGUAGGAGUAGAUUGAAGACUGCAUUAUUUUUGCUGUUUACUGUUCUGAUGACAACUUACAGAGCCACCUGAAAGCGUAGGGUUUUUUUUUAGAGAGAGCAUGUGAAAUCUCCAAUUAAUGAGAAGAGCAUAUAUGUUUGUGUCCCAAAACGAAAUAAUGGGACAGACAUCUCCCAGGAUCAUGUUAAAUAAUGCUAGGCGCAUCAUGUGAUGAGAGCACCUAAUCCGGGCCUUUUUUAUGUGUAGGUGACAGGGGUCACGCCACCUAAUGCGACUCUGCAAACAAUUCUUUACGGACGCCUGGCUGCUGCCUGCGCCCCGUGAGUGCCAUCAGUAGAGUAUUCAGCAACUUGCUGCUUGAUUUGCUGCCUGCGCCCCAUGAGCAUGCACCUACUGGGCUGGCUUCACUCCUGGCCCGCUUCGGCGGCAAAUUAAAUGGCCCCAAAGCGAGAGGGAGGUGGUGAAGGUAAGGAAGCUUGAGCUGGAAUAGAUGGGAACGAGGAAAGCAACCAGUGAAGACUGAAGAAGCGGAAUUAUGGGGAUACUAGUAGGAGAAAGAACAGGUGGCUGAUAUUCUGGUCACCAAUGUCAAUUGUCAACUGAAGCUGGACAAAAGCGAGUGGGUGACACUGAAAAGUAUAAGACUAAUGGGAGAACGCUACGCGCACAAGUUGACUGACUUGUGUGCGUGCCAAUAGACCAAUAAUAGUAGUUGACUGGUUGAGUGUCAGCAUCUCCGUGGGGGAGGAACCCGUUCAGGCAUUUCUACAAGCACAGCGCGUGCAGCUACAGGAGGGGAGAGAGGAAUGGAAUAUGUGAGAACAGGAGCUUAGAAGAAAGAGGAUACGACCUGAUGCGAGGGCAGCACUUGGUACUCGGCGAGCUCAGUGCGCCACCACUACUGUCAAACUUGGACUGCAACAGCAUCGGUGUAUACAGCUCCAUCUGUUUCCUGAAUUCCUGUGAGCCGGAUAAAAAAAUGACGGUCACAAUCGCUGUCAGUGGAAGAAAUACAGGAUCACAAAUUCACACUGAUUAUAGAUAAAGGCAGUGCGCACGCGCUCCCAAUGUGACUAUGUGAGCCAGCCGGCCGGCCAGGCGUUUUUACAGCAACAGGGAUGGGCGGUCGAGAUGGGCAAGCGGCGAUGGCCACCAACUGGAGGAAAGAAAUUGGAUUGCACAACCAGACAGGAGACAGCCAGCGCGUGCGCUCGGUGUGACGAGAAGUCCCAUGGCCCGCUGGGUAAUUUCUACGAGCACCCCGCGUUCAUAGCACAGCAAACAUCCGGCGGACCGAGAGUGUGCGGGACCUGAGGAAGAGCAGAGCAACCAUCCGGCGGCCGGCGUGCGCCCAACGAAGGACCAGCAGGGGCGCGAGCGGCGGCGGCCCAAGGGCCCCAGCAGCAGUUGAUGAACAGACGCGCGGUCGCUGCGCGGUUAACCCGGCGCCCGGCGGGAUCGGGAGAAUCAAACCGCCUUGUCAUUUGCUGGGCCGGACGAGGAGCGAAGGAUGCUUGUGUGGCAAACAGUUUCAGUGUGCGGCUGCUCGAGAUUAAGUGUGGCAAACAGUUUCAGUAAUCGCUUGCACACAAAACAACAAACUUCCUUAGCUCUCUGGUAGCAAAAUUUGGCCAUAACCAAUUCCACGGCAAGGUGAAAACUCUCUGAUUACAGGGUCAAACAGAUACUAUAAAAUCUCAGAGUUCUGGACAUCAUUUGCAAACAACAAAUAAAUCGUCCGAGACCCAACCUCCGGUGGAUGCUCUCUUUCUUGGGCGUAUUUUCAAACACGGCUCUUGUUCUCGACACGAGAUGAUCUAACUGCAUGAUCACAACAUGAUUCUAGUCCCCUCAUCAAGAUAUGCACACAGGCCCGCAUGCCACCACUCAGCUGUGCGUUGAGCAGAAUUUGAGGUAUCACGAUGUUCCGAGUUUUCUUCAUCCCAGUGUUUUCUUCAUGUGCUCGAUCAUCCUGCACUGCUGCACAAGGGCAAGCAAUCAAUUAGUCCCAGUAUUCAUGCACGGGUCACAUUAUGACCGCAGAUCAAAUAUUUCACCACAAUGAAGUUUCACUAUUGUAACCUGCAGUUCACAUAAUAUAUAUAUGGCUCUAACGAUGUAAAACGGAUUAAUCAGGAAGCAAAGCCACCAUUAUUUUACCAUGGUACUCCUACCGAUCUACCGAUUAAUCAUGUAAAACGGAUUAAUCAGGAAGCGCACUUGCACAUUUCUGAUGAACAGCACAUUUCUGAUUAAUCCGGUGUUGGACUAGAUGUUCACCUGUGCAUUUCACGUGCCUUGAUCAGCGAGACAAGAAGAAGCUUCCGUGGCACAGAAUGGAACAGGCUUGUAAUUUUUUGUAUUGUCCUUUGCCGAGAAACGAUAAUGCUUAUGCAGCACAAAACCGCGUCCAGUGAUGAGUCCAAACCCAACUGAACUUCAAGUGCAGUCAAUCUGAUGACAUACUGAAAAGAAUGGAGUCAAUAUGCAUUCAGAACAAUGAUGUGAGCUAGAUCAAUAGCAGAAUUAGUUGACGGGAGAGGCGAAGCACCAGCAUACAUACCUCAGUUGCCUUGAGAACCACCACCGCACGAGGGAAGGAACCACUUUCGUACGUGCCCUUUAUGUAUAGCUUCAAUGUAUUUAUCGCGAAUAGAAGCGGUCAAGUCAAAGUACUCCCCACCUUCUCUGCAACGCCUCUGCAGGUCAGGGCAGCCAUAUAUGGAUAGGUAUUCGAGGGCUGGGAGCCGGUGCAGGAGACCCUGCGGAAAUUUCUCUAUCCCUGGACAGUCUCCAAUAGUCAACAGCUCAAGGGAAGUGAGACCAUCCAUCCCAUCUGGCAACGCUUUCAGUGCAACGCACCACCGCACAGAGAGUCUCCUCAGCUUGGUCAGAUCUCCGAGGUUUGAAGGCAGCGCCACCAAACUUCUGUUGUUGUCAAUCCAGAUUUCCUCGAGGGAUGCGGGAAACUUGGGGAGCAGAGGAAGGAUUCCGUCAAGUUUGGAGCAACGACAAAUGUGCAGAGCUCGAAGGUGAGGAAAACAACGGAGUUCCUCCACGGGCCAGCGGACAAUAUUGCAGCUGAUAUUCAAUUCUUCCACAGAGACCAACCAGUCCCUAAGCCCAAGUUGCAAUUUGGAUUUAUUAAAUAUCGUUAUGAAGACGUUGUCACCCUCAAGCUCCAAAGAUCGUAGUGUGUUCAAAGGUCUUUGACUCGGGCUUUCCUGAUCGUCUGGAGGCAUCACCACAUCUACCAGCAAAAGUGAUAUUUUCAAGUGGAUAAGAGAUGGCAAAGAGCCCAAAGGCAUGCGCAUCGAAAUAAGAGCUCCUGUAGAAUUAUUCCCUUCGCGACCAAAUAGAUUGAGAUAUGUGAGAACCGGUAACCUUGGGAGACUUGCAAGCUUAUCACAAUUCCCAAUUACUAGUUUUUCAAGCUGGGAAAACAUCACCGAGCUAAGAAUCUCUCCAGCACUAUUUUCUGCCCAUCUGUCCAACUCAGGCAAAGCAAUUAAUUCCAUCCUCUUUAGCUUGGGGAAUAUUUGCAGAGAGGUAUUGUCAGCUUCAGCUUCCAAGUCGAUGUUCUUACACAACGUGGUCAAACUUUCCAUGUCCCGUAAAGAUAAAUGCUCAAGAGAGGAUGACAACCAUACUAUUGGCAGGUCCUUACACCAUGGGCAUCCGGACAUAAUAAGUUCUCUCAAGCACCGGAACAUUUGAGGGUUUCUCAUCCAUUGCGAGAUUGUGAGGCCACCGUAACUAUGCACCUCCAAACUUUUUAGCUUAUCAUGAGGUACAAGAGAUUCCAUACUUGUUCAUGAUUAGUAGCCUCACGAAAAUGAUCCCAAUACAACAACAAUUCAUUUAGAUUAUGUUUCUCAUGGAGAUUGGCCUUCGACCCACACUUUACUUCCUGCAAAUUAUACAGUUCCAACCUGCCGCCAAUCUGUCGUAGGUCUUCGAGCUCCUCGAUUCCACAUCCAUCUUUUGUGCCCACAACAAAUCUUGUUAGUGUGCGAAGGUUGUGUAGUACACUAAGUUUUGGGGGCAUUCGUUCCAAGCUACCACACCCCAAGAGAUAAAUAUGGCAGAGCUUCCUCAUAGUUCUCAUACCCUCAGGUAAAUAUUGUAGUAGGGAGCAGUGAUUAAGCCUCAAAGACAGUAAGUUAUACAACAUACAGAUUGAGUUUGGCAAGCUAACAAUACUCGAGUAAGAGAGAUCAAGAUACCGCAAAUGUGCUGUGCGUGUGAGCAUAUGGACGAUUGAAGUAUCUCUACAAAGAAUACUCAAUGCUCUUGAUGGCAUCAGUUUUGACUUCAUCAGAUCCUUGUACGAUGAUGGUGGCAUCAACAGUGUGCGAAGAUACAUAGUGCCUCCCAGUAACUGGCUGAUUUUGUUCAAUUGAUAAUUUCCCCGAAUAUGCAAGUGAUGGACGUCAUUUACAGGCAUGUUUUGCUGAAUUAACUCUUCCGCAUUUGCACAUUCAUUUGCAACAUCUUUUGCAAGGUCAUGCAUCAAGUCGUGCAUUUUACAUCCAUUUAUCUCUUGUUUUGAGGCAUGCAUAAAAUAGGGCUCCCUCACUAAUAUCACAUCUUGGAAAAAGGACCUCCAAGCCAACUCGUUGAAGAUAUAUUCCCCUUUUUGUGUCAAGUCCAUCGUCCCCUCUUCAUGAAGAUAACCGUUUGCCAUCCAUAGUUGAAUCAACAUGUCCUUCUCCAUCUCAUAGUCCUUGGGGAAAAGUGAACAGAAGGCAAAGCAUUGCUUCAUCUCAGGGGACAAGUGCUUGUAGCUCAGUUUUAGUAUGGGCAAUACCUCAUCUUUACCUCUAUUGGUAUCACUAAUAUUGCAAUCUGCAAUGGCCUCCCAUUCCUCGAUUUGUUGUUUUGAACUCAUCAAUCCACCCAUUGUCUUCAGUGCAAGAGGCAGUCCCUUGCACUUGUUGCUGAUACAUCUGCCAAUUUUGACAAACUUUGCUUGCUCUUGCACUCCUUUACUAAAUGCUUUCUUUGAGAACAAUUCCCACGAAUCAUCUUCACUCAAACACACUAAUUCAUGAGGUGGAAGGGUGCCCAUUAUUGACGCCACUUGUCGGCUUCUACUUGUGACAACUAUUGUGCUUCCUGAUCCACCAAUUGAAGAACAGAGUAGCGGCCUCAAGUCAUCCUCCCACUUGUUUUGGUCUUCGUUCCACACAUCGUCGAGAAUGAGUAGGAACCUUUUGCGGCCAAUAGCUUCCUGCAGUUUUCCUCGCAGAAGCUCGAUCGUGUCAGGCAGACCACAUGUGCUAUUUGUAGCCAACUCAAUUACAGAUCUAACAAGAGGAAUAGCUUCAAAAUUUUCUGACACGCAGUGCCACAUCCUCAAUUCAAAGUGCUUCUGAAUUUUGUCGUUGUUGUACACCAUCUUGGCUAGCGUGGUCUUGCCCACACCCCCCAUUCCAAGGAUGGGCAGCACUUGUACAUCCUGCUGAUCUUGCUGGUCCAGCAACAGUUCCACCACCCCAUCUUUGUCACCUUCUCUGCCAAAUAUCUCCAUGGAUUCAUCCAGCGCUGAGUGCGUCUGCCGAGGAAGAGCUUGCGGCGGCGCCUCCGGAAGCGCCACCAGGCCAAACUUUGUCAUCUCGGUCACGAGCUCGUCAAUCUUUUCGAGCACGUUCUUCAGGUCUCUGCUCGCUUUAUGACGGAAUACAAGACGAUUCUUUGAGGUGAAGUUGCUCAGUAUCUUGCUUGCCAUGGACUGGCCGCUCAGGGCCUCACGGCGCAGCGCCUCGUACUGGAAGUCGUCGAGGACGUCGUCGGCCUGGUACGCGGCGGCCUUGAGCUCCUUCAUCCACGUCCGGACGGCGUGGUUGGUCUCGCUCUUCGCCUCGGCGUCAGCCAGCAAGGACUGCACGUACACCAGGUGGCGCUCGAGCUUGAGGCGGUCCUUGUCGACGCCCCACAUGCGAGUGAUGCUCUGCACGAGAGCGUCAGCCGCCUUGCCGACGACGCCGCGCACCACGGGGAGCAGCAGCGACUCUGCCAUGUUUCCUUGCUCGCAGGGCUUCCUUGCUCUUCCUCACAGGCUCAACCACAGGGAGAUCUGAGAAGAGGCAACAGGUGAUGGAAACAAGGAAGAGACUUGCUGGUAGGUGCAAUAAUGCAAGCUGGACUGAAGGCAAGUGGGUAACAGUGACGGGGAAGAUAUUUCGUGGCAAUUGUUGACUUGCAUCAUUGCGUGGCAAUUGAUCGCAUCGGUGCACAAGCUCAAUAAAUGAUUUCAUCCGGUACAAAAUAAGAGGCGGAACGAUGCAGAGCAAAGGAAACCACAGCACUACAGCGAAGGACAGCACACGCUCCCGCUCCCAAUGCAAGCCAUCCGGUCAGGCAUUUUUACAAGCACCCGGCGCGCCCGACUACAAGAUAGGACAGGGAAUGCGGUCAACGAAAUUGAAAGGAGAGAAGGAAGCAGGUGCGGUCGGCUAGCUCUGGUGCGCGCCGGGGCCGAAGACGCAGCCCAGGCCGACCAGCCGACGCCGACGCAUGGCGAGAUAGGCCAACGGAGGACCUCGC